rnacentral:rRNA from 1 species
UAAGCGGAGGAAAAGAAACUAACAAGGAUUCCCUUAGUAACGGCGAGUGAACCGGGAAAAGCUCAAAUUUGUAAUCUGGCUGUCUUCGAUAGUCCGAGUUGUAAUCUAUAGACGUGUUUUCCGUGCUGGACCGUAUCUAAGUCCCUUGGAACAGGGUAUCAAAGAGGGUGACAAUCCCGUGCUUGAUACGACCACCAGUGCUCUGUGAUACACGCUCUACGAGUCGAGUUGUUUGGGAAUGCAGCUCAAAAUGGGUGGUAAAUUCCAUCUAAAGCUAAAUAUUGGCGAGAGACCGAUAGCGAACAAGUACCGUGAGGGAAAGAUGAAAAGCACUUUGGAAAGAGAGUUAAACAGUACGUGAAAUUGUUGAAAGGGAAACGAUUGAAGUCAGUCGUGUUCUUUGGAUUCAGCUAGUUCUUCUAGUCUACUUCCUUUGAACGGGUCAACAUCAGUUUUGUCCGGUGGAUAAAGAUAGUAGGAAUGUAGCUCCCUCGGGAGUGUUAUAGACUAUUAUUGCAUGCACUGGGUGAGACUGAGGACUGCAGCUCGCCUUUUGGCCGGCCUUCGGGUACGUUCGAGCUUAGGAUGUUGACAUAAUGGCUUUAAACGACCCGUCUUGAAACACG